UUACCUCCAUAGCUCAUUAGGAACCCAACGUAACCUUAGCCUUGUCUGUGGAGCAGUUGAGUUGCUGUUCUGCUGCUUGUGAAUAAAUGCAAAUCUGCGUUCCGCUUGUCACCUGGCUCGCUGAUGCUACAACUUGACAGUCGUCUCUUCCCAUCAACCCAAGCCAACACAUGAAUUUUCAGCACACAGAGUACACCAAGGAAAACGAGUUCUCUCUCGCAACUCCCACCCCAAUCUUUCUUGGAGAAAUUCACUUAGAUGCAAAGCAGAACGGACAGCCUGGCAACGAUGCCUCAGUGGCUCGUUCGUGCUGAAGAAGAUAUGAAUGAUCCUUCAUGAUUACAUCUCAAACACAGUGAAGUGAAAUCUCGUACAGGUGAUGGUGAAGGCCAGAGUCUAAAUAAUGUGGAGCAAUUUUUACUGGAGAGAUUUGACUUCUAACUGGAAGUUUAACCUGCUUUGCUUGGACAUUAUUGCUUUGAAGCGUGUUUAUACUUCAGUUUUUCC